rnacentral:ncRNA from 1 species
UGGCCCUCCGCCACUCCACUUUCUGGCGGACGGCACAUGAAAAAAGGAGGAGUAAAAACGCCCUGGCUCGGGCUGCGGCAGUGUGGAGACCUGUCGUACAUGCGGAGACGCAAGUCCCCGUGAGGGCACAUCAGGCGGAGGCCGUGUGUCCGGAGCCGGAAAAGAUGGCA